AACGAACGCUGGCGGCAGGCUUAACACAUGCAAGUCGAACGGGCGUAGCAAUACGUCAGUGGCAGACGGGUGAAUAACACGUGGGAACCUUCCUCGUAGUACGGAACAACUCAGGGAAACUUGAGCUAAUACCGUAUACGUCCGAGAGGAGAAAGAUUUAUCGCUAUGAGACGGGCCCGCGUCCGAUUAGCUCGUUGGUGGGGUAACGGCCUACCAAGGCAACGAUCGGUAGCUGAUCUGAGAGGAUGAUCAGCCACACUGGGACUGAGACACGGCCCAGACUCCUACGGGAGGCAGCAGUGGGGAAUCUUGGACAAUGGGCGAAAGCCUGAUCCAGCCAUGCCGCGUGAGUGAAGAAGGCCUUAGGGUUGUAAAGCUCUUUUGGCAGGGACGAUAAUGACGGUACCUGCAGAAUAAGCCCCGGCAAACUUCGUGCCAGCCGCCGCAGUAA
rnacentral:rRNA from 1 species